UGCGGAUUGAUGUAAUAGUAACAGGUUUGUCUCAUGAUCAAAUAAUUUAGGUGCGAAUCCUAAAUCCGCAU
rnacentral:tRNA from 1 species